rnacentral:rRNA from 1 species
AUUGAACGCUGGCGGCAGGCCUAACACAUGCAAGUCGAACGAGUGGCGGACGGGUGAGUAAUGUCUGGGAAACUGCCCGAUGGAGGGGGAUAACUACUGGAAACGGUAGCUAAUACCGCAUACCAUCGGAUGUGCCCAGAUGGGAUUAGCUAGUAGGUGGGGUAAUGGCGUACCUAGGCGACGAUCCCUCGCUGGUCUGAGAGGAUGACCAGCCAAACUGGAACUGAGACACGGUCCAGACACUUACGCGAGGCAGCAGUGGGGAAUAUUGCACAAUGGGCGCAAGCCUGAUGCAGCCAUGCCGCGUGUAUGAAGAAGGCCUUCGGGUUGUAAAGUACUUUCAGCGAGGAGGCGUUACUCGCAGAAGAAGAACCGGCUAACUCCGUGCCAGCCGCCGCGGUAAUUC